UGGGGAAUUUUGGACAAUGGGCGAAAGCCUGAUCCAGCAAUGCCGCGUGUGUGAAGAAGGCCUUCGGGUUGUAAAGCACUUUUGUCCGGAAAGAAAUCCUUGGCUCUAAUACAGUCGGGGGAUGACGGUACCGGAAGAAUAAGCACCGGCUAACUACGUGCCAGCAGCCGCGGUAAUACGUAGAGUGCAAGCGUUAAUCGGAAUUACUGGGCGUAAAGCGUGCGCAGGCGGUUUGCUAAGACCGAUGUGAAAUCCCCGGGCUCAACCUGGGAACUGCAUUGGUGACCGGCAGGCUAGAGUAUGGCAGAGGGGGGUAGAAUUCCGACGUGUAGCAGUGAAAUGCGUAGAGAUGUGGAGGAAUACCGAUGGCGAAGGCAGCCCCCAUGGGCCAAUACUGGACGCUCAUGCACGAAAAGCGUGGGGGAGCAAACAGGAUUAGAUACCCCUGGUAGUCCACGCCCCUAAAAGCGAUGUCAACUAGUUGUUGGGGGAUUGCAUUUCCUUAGUAACGUAGCUAACGCG
rnacentral:rRNA from 1 species